UUUAAAGAAAGCGUAACAGCUCACUGGUCUAGACAAGCCGGCCUGCGCCGAAGAUGUAACGGGGCUAAAGCCACAUACCGAAGCUGAGGACGUGAUUUAUCACGUGGUAGCAGAGCGUUCUGUAGGCCUGCGAAGCGUAAUCGUGAGAUUGCGUGGAGGUAUCAGAAGUGAGAAUGCUGACAUGAGUAGCGAUAAUGCGGGUGAAAAGCCCGCACGCCGUAAGCCCAAGGUUUCC
rnacentral:rRNA from 11 species